rnacentral:tRNA from 1 species
GGUUUUGGCUCAGUGGUAGAGCACUUGCCUCUAAUGUGUGAGGCCCUGGGUUCUAUCCUCAGCACCA